rnacentral:lncRNA from 1 species
ACACGACACCCUCACUUGAACCAUUCAGCAAAACCAUCAUCAGCAUUUUCACCGAAACAGUCUUCCUAAACCAAACCCGCCGGUAUCCAUUCUUCCUCUCCCCUAGCCACAAUUGACAAAAAUGCAGCACCUCCACCACCAAACCAGACCCGGCUGCUUCCCAAUCUCAUGAUCUUUCCUCGCAUUUCAUCGGUACCAAUCAAUGCAAAAUAGUUAUCUUGCGUCCAGAUGGCAAUUGCAGCUCUUCUAUUGAAGACCUAUUUUGCCCUUUACCAGAAAUUGUCGAUCUCUCCUUUUUUACUGGUUUGGAUUUUUGGUGGCAUUGGGUAAAAUUUCAGUCCAUUGUACCUUCAUUGAUCAGAU